AUAUAUAUAAAUAUUUUGUUUUUCUUAGUCAGACUAUAGUUAUAACUAAAUGACAAUUAACUGAAUGAUAUUAUUAAGCAAUUGAAAAUUAGAAUAGGGGAGAGGAGAAACAUGACCAUGACAGAUUCGACGCAUGUAUCAGGGUAUAUUGGACAUGUCACCAACAUCAAUAGGUAUCCUCUACAUAAUUGUAGAGGGCCCAAUGAGAUGUUCACCAUGUACACCCUGACCGCGCCCGAGGAUACUGUCAGCUCAUGAAAUAAAAGGAAAAAAAAUAACAGAGUUUAAAGAAAUUAACCAUCUUACAUAAAUAUAGUCGUAAUCAAAAUUAAUAUAAUCAUUAACUAAAUCAAAAAAUGUGACCACAUGAUCACAUAACCAAAAUAAAUAAAAGACCAACACCUCUAUGCUUCAACCCUAUAAUGAAUGUUGCCGGACGAAGAUGUAGAAGAAGACCAAAAAAGAGAUGGAGGAAUAUAAUUGAAUGCGAUGUGAGGACGGCUGAUGAGAGGGUAGAUGAUGUGGGAGAUCGUGUCAAGUUUAGGAUAAGGGUGGCCGACCCUAAGUAAUUGGAUUAAAGCGAUGAUAAAGAAUAUGAAGACGCUAAGUUUUUGUACCUUAUUUAUUAUUAGAUAUUACAGCAUUAAGUAAUUCCGAACACACAAACACUAUAUACAUGGUAGAAAAGUUAAAUCAAUUAUAAGAUAAGAGUAGUGGUCGCGAUGAUGGUAAAAGAUCAACUGUCGAUAGGGAUAUAUAUUAUGGCACAUUGACUGUGAAUUGCAAAAGUGUUUAUGUGUACAGUCCGCCCUCCUGUUAGUAUUGUUGUAUGUUACUGUGUCAAUUAUAUAUAUAUAUAUAUAUAUAUAUAUAUAGUAAAAGGUACAGUGAUGUUAUGGGAGACAGAGAUAUAGGCACAUGCAAAUGUGAUCGUAUCAAUAUAAAAGAUAAAUUUAAAUAUUAUGCUAUAAAUUCCAUUAAAUUUUACAAAAUUAAUCACUUAAAAUAUCCUACACAUGAUUUUUAAAAUUUCGUAUUAACAAAUGUAAUAAGAUAUGAUAGAAACUUUUUACUUUAAACACAUUUUUAUAUUUUAAUUAUGUUUUGAGAAAACUUAUGUAACAUGAAAUUUUAAUUACCCUCUAUUUAAGUUAUGCAUAUUUUAUAGAUAGAAAAAGUUUAAGCACUUUCAAAAUUUUGAAUUUUUUGGCUAAAGUUAAAAAGACAGGCGACGACAAAAUAGUGGAAAAACUUGAUAUAAAUGAGGUUGAAAUAAUCUCAAAUUUAUUCAGUAAUCUUGACACAGACAACGAUGGCUUCAUAACUAAGGAACAAUGCAAUACAUUGGUUGAUUCUAUUUUCUAUUGUGUAUAUACUGGAAAUGUAAAAAAAGUGGAUAUAAAUGAGGUUCAAAGAAUGUCAAAUGAAUUCCAAAAUCUUGACAUUGACAACGAUAGCAUGGUAGUAACACUGAACGAAAAUAGAAAUGUAAAUCUCAAAAAGUCUUUAGUUGAUAUGAAGAAAGAAUUAAAGGACGAAAAUAAAAUAUUUUUCAAAUUCAGUGAUGUAUUGAUAAAAGUAUUAUUCUACAAGGCCCAAUUUAAGAAUACCGACUUUGGUGAAUGUCAAUACCUUCAUUAUACACGACGUAUAAUUUCAAAAUGUCAUUUUCCAAAUUCUAUAAAUGAUAUAAAAAUGUAUUACACAGAGAAAUGUUAUGAUUUUGUUUCAUCUUCCAAAUAAUCUAUUUUUUCUAGUUAUUACAUAAAAUAUUCUAAAAUUAUAA